UGAACGCUGGCGGUAUGCUUAACACAUGCAAGUCGAACGGUAACAGGCGGAGCUUGCUCUGUGCUGACGAGUGGCGGACGGGUGCGUAACGCGUGGGAAUCUGCCUUUUAGUGGGGGAUAGCCCGGAGAAAUCCGGAUUAAUACCGCAUAAGCCCUACGGGGGAAAGCUUGGGAUCUUCGGACCUGGCGCUAUUAGAUGAGCCCGCGUUAGAUUAGCUAGUUGGUGAGGUAAAGGCUCACCAAGGCGACGAUCUAUAGCUGGUCUGAGAGGACGAUCAGCCACACUGGGACUGAGACACGGCCCAGACUCCUACGGGAGGCAGCAGUGGGGAAUAUUGCACAAUGGGCGCAAGCCUGAUGCAGCAAUACCGCGUGUGUGAAGAAGGCCUGAGGGUUGUAAAGCACUUUCAAUAGUGAAGAAAAGUUCUUGGUUAAUAGCCUUGAACCUUGACGUUAACUAUACAAGAAGCACCGGCUAACUCC
rnacentral:rRNA from 1 species